rnacentral:rRNA from 1 species
GACGAACGCUGGCGGCGUGCUUAACACAUGCAAGUCGAACGGUGAAGCGCCUUUCUUUUUGGUGGGUGUGGAUGAGUGGCGAACGGGUGAGUAACACGUGAGUAACCUGCCCCCUUCUUCUGGAUAACCGCAUGAAAGUGUGGCUAAUACGGGAUAUUCUGGGUCUGUCGCAUGAUGGGUCUGGGAAAGAUAUUGUUUCGGUGGGGGAUGGGCUCGCGGCCUAUCAGCUUGUUGGUGGGGUGAUGGCCUACCAAGGCGGUGAGGGGUUGACGGCCGGGGAGGGUGGACGGUCACACUAGGAAUGCGACACGGCCCAGACUCCUGCGGGAGGCAGCAGUGGGGAAUAUUGCACAAUGGGCGCAAGCCUGAUGCAGCGACGCCGCGUGAGGGAUGGAGGCCUUCGGGUUGUGAACCUCUUUCGCCAGUGAAGCAGGCCUGCCUCGUUUGUGGGUGGGUUGACGGUAGCUGGAGAAGAAGCGCCGGCUAACUACGUG